CGGGGUACGAUGUCGACUUGGAGGUUGUUCCCUUGAGGAGUGGCUUCCGGAGCUAACGCGUUAAGUCGACCGCCUGGGGAGUACGGCCGCAAGGUUAAAACUCAAAUGAAUUGACGGGGGCCCGCACAAGCGGUGGAGCAUGUGGUUUAAUUCGAUGCAACGCGAAGAACCUUACCUGGCCUUGACAUCCACGGAAUUUGGCAGAGAUGCCUUAGUGCCUUCGGGAACUGUGAGACAGGUGCUGCAUGGCUGUCGUCAGCUCGUGUUGUGAAAUGUUGGGUUAAGUCCCGCAACGAGCGCAACCCUUAUCCUUUGUUGCCAGCGAUUCGGUCGGGAACUCAAAGGAGACUGCCGGUGAUAAACCGGAGGAAGGUGGGGAUGACGUCAAGUCAUCAUGGCCCUUACGGCCAGGGCUACACACGUGCUACAAUGGCGUAUACAAAGAGAAGCGACCUCGCGAGAGCAAGCGGACCUCAUAAAGUACGUCGUAGUCCGGAUUGGAGUCUGCAACUCGACUCCAUGAAGUCGGAAUCGCUAGUAAUCGUGGAUCAGAAUGCCACGGUGAAUACGUUCCCGGGCCUUGUACACACCGCCCGUCACACCAUGGGAGUGGGUUGCAAAAGAAGUAGGUAGCUUAACCUUCGGGAGGGCGCUUACCACUUUGUGAUUCAUGACUGGGGUGAAGUCGUAACAAGGUAACCGUAGGGGAACCUGCGGAUGGAUCACCUCCUUAAAAA
rnacentral:rRNA from 1 species